rnacentral:rRNA from 1 species
CCUACGGGUGGCAGCAGUGAGGAAUAUUGGUCAAUGGGCGAGAGCCUGAACCAGCCAAGUCGCGUGAAGGAUGACGGCCCUACGGGUUGUAAACUUCUUUUGUCAGGGAGCAAUUGAGUCCACGUGUGGGCUUAGCGAGAGUACCUGAAGAAAAAGCAUCGGCGAACUCCGUUCCGGCAGCCGCGGUAAUACGGAGGAGGCGAGCGUUAUCCGGAUUUGCUGGGUGUAAAGCGCGCGUAGGCGGUAUGUCAAGUCAAGGGUGAAAUCCCCGCGCUCAACGUGGGAACUGCCUUUGAAACUGGCAAACUUGAGUGUGUGAGAGGAUAGUGGAAUUCCAGGUGUAGGAGUGAAAUCCGUAGAUAUCUGGAGGAACAUCAGUGGCGAAGGCGACUAUCUGGCACAUAACUGACGCUGAGGAGCGAAAGCGUGGGUAGCAAACAGGAUUAGAUACCCGAGUAGUC